AACAAGUUCAAAUAAGUAACAAAGUCCUUCCACACCUGCUGAUGUAGUUACAAAUAAGGCAAAAACGUGUUGUUUUAGAUUCCUUUUCCAUUGUGCGUCUUAAGGCUGCCUGGGCUGCUGAGGUCAUGGAGUCUGCUUCAUCCAGGAUCACAAUUUUAAAAGGAGGACAAACUUUACCAUCUGCUCUGCUUCCAGAUGCUGUGAGCUGAGCAAAAGCCUUCACUUUCUCACGGAUCACUUGUAUUCCACGCUCAUCGGAGGCAUUUAACUCCAGGACUCUUUGUCGGAAUAGCUCAGGCCCAAAGAGUUCCCUGGCAGCUGCUAAAAUAGUGGAGGUCUUCCCAGUUCCAGGCGGGCCAUAGAACAGCAGAUUGGGAAGAUCAGCGCCUUCCAAGGACUUUUUCAGCACAGCAACCACCUCAUCCUGGAAGGCGACUUCGUCCACGUUUUUGGGGCGAUAUUUCUCCACCCAGGGCACGGGUUUGAGCUUCUUGCCUUCCCCGCUGCUCCCCGCCGCGCUCCUCUCCUUGGCGGCGGGAGGCUUGCUGCUGAUGGAGGACGGGCCUUUGAGGAAGGCCUGCAUGGCUGUGGCUGCGCCCGCCCCAGUUCCUCUCCGUCCCCUCGGCUCCGCGCGGCCGUUAAGCCCAGCGCAUCACAACGCGCGCAAGCCCAUCGCCGCGCGCACCCCGCAACAACUUCCCGCCAAGCCGCCGCCACUCAAGGCGAAGCAGAGC
rnacentral:lncRNA from 1 species